rnacentral:lncRNA from 1 species
AUGGAAAUUAACCAAGGUCCUACCGUUUCAACUCUGAAACUAAAAAACCCAGUCUCAUUUGCAGGAAGACAGGUUAUCGCACAAGCUGGAAAUGCUGCUUCCAAAGCAAGGGUAAUUAUUAUUCCGCCUAAACCUGUCAUGGGUCCUCACCCAGCCCAAAAAGUAUUGCUAAUAACGCCACAGGGAAAAGAACCAUGUAAAGCAACCAAGAAAACAGUUACGCAACCAGAAAGAGGAAAUGGGCGAAAUACUACUGCGCCCAAGGUUGGUUCCUGGACGGCUCCGCAGACACUAGAGCUCAUAGGAGCUAUUAAAGAGAACCCGUGUCUUUACCAAGUAAAACAUCCGGAUUACCUGGAUCGGAGGAAGAAAGAUGACGCCUACAAUCGCAUCAGAGAAUUCAUCUCAGGGUUUAGAGAAAACACCACAGUUAAGGAAAUUACAGCCAAAUGGAAUUCCCUUCGGACGCAAUUCAUAGCGGAGCACAAAAAAGUCUUGGAUUCCAUGAGAACCGGCACAGGCAAAGAUGAAGUCUAUUCACCUAAUAUGACACACUACUGCGACUUAUUAUUCUUGACAGAUCAUGUAGCGAUCCGCCAGCCACAGUCAAAUGAGGCAUUUGGAAUCGAAAAUGAGGACAACAUUGAUGAGGACCUUUACCACGAUGACUUGCCUUCAACGAGUUUAGCUGGCCCUCCAGUGAAAAAAAGGAAAUCUAAAGCCAAUAAUAAUACAACUGUUGAUGGGGUAUUUAUCGACUUCUUGAAUGAAGCUAAAACUGUGUUCAAGCCGGCACAGCCACCCACUGCUGUAGCUCCUACUACUGCUGCAGCUUCUCUAUCUGCUACUCCACUCACCGAACCUCAGGACGAAUUUGCUCAGCUGGGAAAUUUGGUGGCUACUAAACUAAGAGCUAUGCCAGUUGAGCAGAGCAAAAAAAUUUCAAGUCAAAUUGUUGGAAUUCUUUACGCCUAA